AGUUGGAAGGAACUAAGUUGUAUGAAAGACAUCUGUAAACCUUCCCACGUCAUCUGCAGAGUAGGAAAACUCAAUUAGAAUUUCAGGUUCACCCCCUUUUUGUGUUAAUGUUGCACCUGAUUUUGAUACCUAUAUUUGUGUCAAAGACCAUCUUAACACCCAAGCUGUCCCAUUGAUUGUGAAAGGAAUAGGACAACAUGCAAAGUAAGCUUUUCCAGGACCUGCGGUAGUUUAAGAAGUUACAAUAAAGGCAUGUAUGCUCCAUCAAGAGAAAUGAAAAAUCUAUCCCCAAAAGAGGAAAUGAGUCCUGAAGAUAUAGGAUUGAAGAGAGUCUUAUCUUGAGCCAUGAACAAGGAGAUCAAUGCUAGCUGGAGCUUAUGCAGUGUGCUCUGGAUCACCUGACUCUUCACUUCCACCAGUCGAGUCUUCAGGCUCUAUCUGCACCUGGACCCGAUGGCCCUUUUGUUCACAUCCCCAGCCUGUGCAUGAACUGAAACAACACCUGGAUGUCAAUUAACUCAAACCACACGAUAAAGAGAUGAGCCCAACCUGACUGGAAAAUCCUAAAGAACUACAAAACCUAGAGAAUUGGGGUAAUGGAAACAAGAUAAAAUUCAACAAUUGAACAAAUUCAAGCAUGUAGGGAUGACUAACAAGAACUUCUGCUGCCGACUGAGAGCUCUUCAUUUGGAAAUGACUGAGGAGGAGAGAAUUGGGUAUCGUACUUGAUCACAGGAUAAUUAUGAGAUGUCAAUGUGGUGCAGCCAGAUGAGAUCCUAGAAGGUGCCAGGCAAGGAAGUGCCAGCAAAAAUGGGUAGUAUGAAUGUACAAGGGACUGGUAUAACCUAAUAUGGAAUACUGCAGAUCCAUGUUAAAGAAGGAUGAACCUGGGGGGACUGGGGAAGUGAAAAGCCUGUUAAUGGCUGUCAGCAUAUGUGUCAGGAGCAGGGAUGGACAGCCCUUUUCCCAAUACUGUCUUGGAAAUGGGGGAGGGGGGCAGAGAAUGUAGCUUAACACCCUGUGUGUUGGUUUUAGUGGUCAGGUAGAAAGAGUCUUCAAGUCACUCUAAUUCCUAACUAGUAAUUUGUAGUGUUAAUCUCCACAGGGUUAGAGAUUGAAGCACAGGAUAGAAAGUCAGGAUAUGUAGGUUCUUCAGCAGACUUCCUUUUAAGAAAUGUCUGUCAAAUCAGGUUUAGGUUACAUCUACCUUGUAGCAUGCAGCACCAUGCUGAGGUUCUCAUGAUGCUCCGCACUUGUAAGCUCUGGAUCUAGAAGCAGCACAGCUGCAUUCCCACAGCACUGCCAGGCUAACAUGGGUGUACCACUUCCAAUUCUGAAGUUAGUUCAUGCAAAACUAGGUUGGCUAUCUCUGCACAGCACUCCCUUGCUCACAUGGGCAUAUCCUUAAUCUUUUCCUGUAUCUUAGUUUGCCAGUCAGUAAAGAGAGAAUAAUAUUUUUUACAUCCCUCAUAAAUGUGAUGUGAGCUUUGUAUUAUGUUCAUAAAGUGUUUUGAAUUCCUUGAA